GAUGGACGCUGGCGGCGUGCCUAACACAUGCAAGUCGAGCGAGAUGUCUGUGAUGGAUUCUUCGGAUGACAGAUCAGACGGAAAGCGGCGGACGGGUGAGUAACGCGUAGGCAACCUGCCUCUCACAGAGGGAUAGCCACUGGAAACGGUGAUUAAAACCUCAUAAUGCCACUAAGAGACAUCUCCUGGUGGCCAAAGAUUUAUCGGUGAGAGAUGGGCCUGCGUCUGAUUAGCUAGUUGGCGGGGUAACGGCCCACCAAGGCGACGAUCAGUAGCCGACCUGAGAGGGUGAUCGGCCACAUUGGAACUGAGACACGGUCCAA
rnacentral:rRNA from 1 species